CUGCACACCACUGUGCCUUACUUAUUUCUGCCUUGAUCUGUCUGCUUCUCCUUUCUUUCCCUCAUAUCUUGCCUCCACUUGUUUUCUCUUCUUCUUCUCAUACUGCUCUUCUUAAAAAAUGGCUGCUUUGGCUUUCCACCACCACCUUCUCGAGCAGUGAGCAAGACCACGAGCUCAACCACUACAACAAACCUGCAAAAUCUGUAAUUGCAGCCCAGUUGUAAAGGCUCACAUAGACCGUAACUCCAGUUCCAGCAGGCCUAGUGCAAGUGUGAAGAAUGUAAGAGGAGCAGAAGAAUCCAAUUUUGUGAUUGGAUUUUGGAACACUGGAGGCUGGAUGGGGCUCUGAGAACACUGACUGAGCUCUGAACUAAAGCCAACCAGUCCCAUGCCAUGGUAUGCUCUGGAGGAGGCAGGUGAUGCUGUGAGAUGAUCCCACAGGAGAACUGUGCAGCUGACAAGAUUAGGGAUAACUGAAGGAAUUUGCCAGCGAACCUCCAUAUGGCCAGCUCUACUUCCAGUGCAGAUCAAUGGCUGCAUCAUAACCUGAGAUCAGUCAGUAUUACCUCUGCUCCUGCAGAGUACCUCAACUUAUCAUGGAUGUGCAAGACAACAGAGAUCUGAAUGUGUAGUGCAUAAAAUAUCCAAAAGAAUAUUCUACCACUGCUGAAAAAGACAUUUCAAUACUUGGAGGCCAAGAGAUCUCAGAGGAGCUUGGUUGCAGCUGGAACUGGAACUGAACAGAAAAAAAAACUUCAACAACAAAAAUUGGACAAGGUGGGAGAAAGAAUGAAAGCUGCUCCCCAGGCAUGAUAAUUCAUGCAAUUGCCUAUUAUGGAGACUUGACACCCUUAUUGCAGCAGUUGGUGCUGACUGCUGUAGGAAAUUUUGAGACAGCUGAUGUAUUUCACCCUGACAAUUUUCUCCAACCUAAGGAGCUCAGAGUCCUGGUACAAGGACCUUCCACUCUGACCACCAAGCUUUCCCCUGUGCUGGCAACACGACUCCUCAGUCACAAAAAGACAAGCCAAAGCUUGAUGUUAUCUGAAUUUCACAAAAUUUCUACUUUUCCCCUGCUUUGAGCAGGCUGUAAAGAAAGGGAAAGAUGUUGUUACUAGUUCUGGAAUGAGUCCUUCAGUCCAGAAGAGUAGGAUGGAUCCAGCUAGUGAAAGAAACAUCAUAGAAACAAAAUCCACAGAAGAUCCACAGGGAAAAGAACUCCUGAAGUGAAACACCAACUGAUCUUGGUAGUAUGUUGCAAUCCAGACUUGAUAAAUAUUGCACUGCUGUAGGGCACAGAUAAGGUUCAAAUCCUUCACUUUCUCUUACUUACACAUGGGUGUGAACCAAAAUCUGCCACAUCCUCAAGUGCUCUGUCUGAAACUAGUACAUGCAUCUUUUCCAGUUUGUCCUUCUGAAGUUAUUCUCUUCUGAGUAAAACAAAAAACAAACAAAAAAAACCCAACACAAAACACAACAGCAUUUUGAGAAAGAAGAAAUGAUGCUCCAGCCUUAGAAGCUGAAAUCUUACAGCAGUUGGGCUGUUUAUACAGCUCUUGCUUGUGCAUCAGGGAAAGGAAGUCUUAGUAGAGGUGUGCUGUGUCUCUGGCCAUCUAACCAUGUGCUGUUGACAGUCUCAGGUGGGUAUGUCCGAAUCCGUUUUGUUUCACAAGGAACUCCUGGGCUUGGUAAUUGCCCCAAAUCUUGUCAGACUGGAUGUAAGUUUCUGUGCCAGCAUAACAGUAUCUUCUGAUGAAAGCAUAUGCAAUUGGUGGAGGUGAGAAUGGAAAGCUCCAGGUGUGUUUUGUGUGUAUUUGAUUAUGUGAGAAUUAUAUGUGGUUGUUUUUAUUAAAAACAAACACAACAGAACAAACCAACUGACUAGACAAACAAUGAAAAUAUCCAGAUAAAACAUGCUUAGCAUAUCUCACGAAGACUAAAUUUCCAGGGAUUUCAACUGGAUUUUCCUAAUUAAUUUAACUGAAAGCAUUACUGACUCACUAGUCCUUCAUACUUAUUCUGCCAUUUUUGUAUCUUGUAUUUUUCUUAAAAUCAAAGCUACUUAUUCCUACUGUUGAAAGAAAGGAAUGGAAGGCCUCGGUUAGACUGGCCAUUUCAUUAAGAGUUCAAAUAGCUUCAACUUUAUUAACAAGUCAGUCACUCAUUAUAGUUCUGUUAAGUUGGCUGCCCCUGCUCUUUGAUUUAUUUGGAGGGACCAAGGUGAAAUGUGAUUUUGAAGUUUAGAUUUCCAGGAUUCCCCUCUUCUAAAAACAUAAAACACAUGGAAAAAACAGUCUCACAGAGAGCCUUGACACAUACCACUAAUCUCACAAGCCAUGGUUUUCCAAAGUUUCCAAAUACUGUAUUAGUGACCUGGAACUGCUGUUUGGCAACCUGGUUCUUCCUGGAGCACUCGCACCUUCUCCUGUGAGAGGCUGAUUUCUUGCUUGGGUUGGUUUUGGAGCACGGAGAGAACUGAGACUGGCCACCACACCAUUUCUCAUUUCUUUUUUCAGAGAAUUUCCUACUUCUGAAAUUGUUGAGAGAUCAGAAGGCCUAGCUAGGGGCAAAGUUUAGAAGUAUAUACUAUAUAUACAUAUAUAUGUAUAUAUAUACAUAUAAAACGAGGUUUUCUGUAAAAUUGUCUCAGUUUUAAGCAGCGGACAUUUGCAGUAAGCUUGCCACAAGCAGUGUACAGGAACCCGAGAACUAACGUGUACAGGAAUGAUUGUAACCUGACGAACCUGAUAUAAUAAACCACCACAUUCUUGUGGUAUUGCAAAAUAUCUAAAUUGUUUUUAGAACCUAUUUUAAUUAUACUCUUUUUUUUUUUUUUUUUUUUCCUGGUGAAAAAUCGCUGAGUCAUUAUUCUUAAUGUAAACUAUCUUGGCAGUCAAAAUGUCUACAUUUAAAAUUCAACAGUUCCAACAUAUUUCGGAGAAUGCUGGAGACAAGAAUGAGGAAACAUGGGAAAUAUCACCAUCAGCAGUCAACUGAUCUCACUGCCUCCUUGCUUGUCAGACAUUGCUGAUUGAAAAGCUGUUUUGCUUUCUGCCCUCAGAACCAGAGCCCAACAACUUGGCAGCACAUUGGCAGGGUCUAGCAAAGAGCAGCCUGAGGAAGCGCCUGGUACAGCCAUGGACAUUAAACAUGCUCAGGAUCCUCUUGGGGUCUUGUUGAAGAGUUCCUGCAGCACUGGUGCUCCCUCCAGCCUGGUAGGAUGCAGUAACAUCUCUGGCAAGUGUGGCCAGGUGCUGCAGCUCCCAUACGGCCUGCAGGAAGACAUCAGCCAUUCUGCACACUGUCUCACCUUGGCUUUGAAGAACAACUUAGAGAUUUUUAUUCCAAUGGUUGCUUUCUCUUUGCUGACAAAAAUCAACAUACUUUUCAGUUUUUUUAGCAUUUUUUCCCUUCUUUUAUCCUUUCUUUUCUUUUUCUCCAAUUGGUAUUAAUUAUGAUUUUAUGUUUACCAUAUCUGAAUGCAUUUGGAAUUGCAUUACUUGUUUUACAAAUAGCUGCUUGACUGCCUGUAAUGUAUGGACUUUGUGGCUUCACUUUACUGUGGUGAAAACUAAAGGAAAGAAAAAAAAAAAAGAACCAAAGACUACACAGAAGGAGCUUUGGUGUCCAAAUCAUUCUUGCAACUGGGCAGGAAGUCCCUCUCCGUGGUCAUGCCGCAGGCUGUUAAGCAGAGAGGUUGCACAAGUCAUUUAGAAAUUAGAAAAGAGCAUCAUGUGUUUCCUGUGCAGAUCUGAAACUGGAGAGGUCCUCAGCGACCCCGAGCUCCUGCCCUGAGCUGCUGCAUGGGCCCAGUGAACUGCAGCCUGUCCAUGCUGCUGUUCCUCAACACAAACGUACAUUUGGGGUACCUGCUGGUUGUUCCUUCUGGAAAGGGCCUGAUGUGCUGUGUCUGACCUUCAGAAUUGCAGGUUUGCUUGUACAAAACCUUUAGACUUCUAAGACAAAAUAAAAAGCAAUAUUGUUAUGAUUUUUAUUUUUUUUUUUUUUCCUUUUUGGGGUUUAUUGUUUUUCAGCUUCAGUUUCAGUAUCUGUCAUGGUGGAAGCAAAGACAUCUCUGCACUGUGUACAAGCUCAUGAAUCACUAGGGCUGCUUGGGAGGUACAUGAUGAAUGAUCCACAUUAUAUACAGGCAAGAGGAGAUUAAUAAACCCAUGCAUAGUUUAUUGGCUGUUCAUCUCACAAGUUCACUGCUUAGGAGUCAAAGGACCUGAGAUUUGGAUGUAAAACUACUUUUCAAAAGCCACUGACACGAGGCCAAAUUUUCAAGUGUUCUGCACUUUAACAGAAAAAGAGUUUCAAAUAUUAAAAAAAAAUAAAAUGUAUCACUUUUUCAUCAAA